AGUGAACGCUGGCGGUAGGCCUAACACAUGCAAGUCGAACGGCAGCACAGUAAGAGCUUGCUCUUACGGGUGGCGAGUGGCGGACGGGUGAGGAAUACAUCGGAAUCUACUUUUUCGUGGGGGAUAACGUAGGGAAACUUACGCUAAUACCGCAUACGACCUACGGGUGAAAGCAGGGGAUCUUCGGACCUUGCGCGAUUGAAUGAGCCGAUGUCGGAUUAGCUAGUUGGCGGGGUAAAGGCCCACCAAGGCGACGAUCCGUAGCUGGUCUGAGAGGAAGAUCAGCCACACUGGAACUGAGACACGGUCCAGACUCCUACGGGAGGCAGCAGUGGGGAAUAUUGGACAAUGGGCGCAAGCCUGAUCCAGCCAUGCCGCGUGGGUGAAGAAGGCCUUCGGGUUGUAAAGCCCUUUUGUUGGGAAAGAAAAGCAGCAGGUUAAUACCCCGCUGUUCUGACGGUACCCAAAGAAUAAGCACCGGCUAACUUCGUG
rnacentral:rRNA from 1 species